UACGUAGGGUGCAAGCGUUGUCCGGAAUUACUGGGCGUAAAGCGCACGUAGGCGGCUUUGUAAGUUAGAGGUGAAAGCCCGGGGCUCAACUCCGGAAUUGCCUUUAAGACUGCAUCGCUAGAAUUGUGGAGAGGUAAGUGGAAUUCCGAGUGUAGAGGUGAAAUUCGUAGAUAUUCGGAAGAACACCAGUGGCGAAGGCGACUUACUGGACACAUAUUGACGCUGAGGUGCGUAAGCGUGGGGAGCAAACAGG
rnacentral:rRNA from 1 species